rnacentral:rRNA from 1 species
GAGCACAUGGUGGAUGCCUUGACUCGUAAUGCCGAUGAAGGACGUAUGAGCCUGCGAUAAGUCUCGGGGAGCUGGCAACAGAGCUUUGAUCCGGGAAUCUCCGAAUGGGGUAACCCACGCCCUUUGGGGCGUACUCUCCGGUGCAAGUCCGGAGAGGUGGUAAGCGCGCGAACUGAAACAUCUCAGUAGCGCGAGGAAAAGAAAUCAGACACGCCGCGCAAGCGGCGAGAGAGAUUCCGUUAGUAGUGGCGAGCGAAAGCGGAAAUAGCCCAAACCGCAUCUUUUUGAUGGCGGGGUUGUAGGGCCGCACGGUGAUAUCACGAGCAGUAAAAAAUCUUUUGCAUAGUUGAACGCGCCUGGAACGGACGGCCAGAGACGGUGAGAGCCCGGUAAACGAAAUGCAUUAGACUGCUUGGUGCGGUACCUGAGUACCAUCGGACACGAGAAACCCGGUGGGAAGCUAGGACGAUCACGUUCUAAGGCUAAAUACAUUACGAGAUCGAUAGUGAACAAGUACCGUGAGGGAAAGGUGAAAAGCACCCCGGCGAGGGGAGUGAAAUAGUACUGAAACCAUGUUUGCUUCCGAGAGGUCGGAGCUGGCCGCGAGGCUGGUGACGGCGUGCCUUUUGUAGAAUGCGCCAACGAGUUAGCUGGCACGGGCAAGGCUAAGGGGUUUAUCCUGGAGCCGGAGCGAAAGCGAGUCCGAAUAGGGCGUUGCUCAGCAAUGAGCGUAGUCCGUGUCACUAGACCCGAAACCCGGUGAGCUUGCCAUGAGCAGGAUGAACGCUCCGUAACAGGAGCGGGAGGUCCGAACUCGGCAGUGUUGCAAAGCUGCGGGAUGACUUGUGGUAAGAGGUAAAAUGCCAAUCGAACCGGGAGAUAGCUGGUUCUCCUCGAAAUAUAUUUAGGUAUAGCCGGUGAUGUUCCUUGAGAGAGGUAGAGAUACUGAAUGGAACGUGGGGGGUAACUCUCGCUUCCAACCAAACUCCGAAUUCUUUUAAGUUAAGUCAUCGAGUCAGACUGUGGGGGCUAAGCUUCAUAGUCGAAAGGGAAAGAACCCAGAUCGCCGUCUAAGGUCCCAGAAUUACUGCUAAGUGGAAAAGGAUGUGUAACUUCCAAGACAGCCAGGCUGUUGGCUUAGAAGCAGCCACCAGUUAAAGAGUGCGUAACAGCUCACUGGUCUAAGAGGCUUCGGCCUCCUUGAGAAGUCAUGCGCCGAAAAUUUAACGGGGCUAAGCAGUAUACCGAAGACGCGGGGCAGACGAUAAAUUUAUUUAUUGUUUGUCGGUAGAGGAGCGUUCACACCGCAGUGAAGCGAAGGUGGAAACCGACGUGGAGCGGGGUGAAGUGAGAAUGUUGGCAUGAGUAACGAAUUUGGCAGGUGAAAAACCUGCCCACCGCAUACCCAAGGUUUCCAGGGCAACGGUAAUCGUCCCUGGGUUAGUCGGUCCUAAGGCGUACCCGAAAGGGGAAGUCGAUGGCCAUCCGGUUAAUAUUCCGGAACUUGCGUGCGUAUGCUUGGUCUGACGAAUCUUUAAGCUUUCCGUGUGCUAUGGACAUGUUCACGGCGGGGGAGAAGGUUCCUAGAAAAGGAUCAAUGAUUAGCGCAUGCAAUCCGUACCGCAAACCGACGCAGGUGGGUGAGUCGAGUAGACUCAGGUGAUCGGAAGAAUCCUCGUUAAGGAACUCGGCAAAACAGCGUCCGUAACUUAGGGAUAAGGACCGGCCAUCGCAAGGUGGCCCACAGCAAAAGAGCUCAAGCGACUGUUUAGCAAAAACUUAGCUCCCUGCCAACUCGCAAGAGGAUGUAUAGGGAGUGAUGCCUGCCCAAUGCCCGUAGGUUAAGAGGAGAUUUGAGAUCAUAUCAAGAGUUGAAUUUAAGCCCGGGUGAAUGGCGGCCGUAACUAUUGCGAAAUCCGCUCUAAGCGGAGUGAGCAAAAAGCUCCGCUUAUUAACUGUAGUAGUUAUAAAAUCUGGCCAAAUGCUGGAAACUCUGAGUAUCUUACACUACUAAAUUCAUAAUUUAUGAAUACUAGUGACAAUGUGAUAAGUGCAGACAAUCAGCAGGAAAGGCUGGCCGAAGCGUGGUAUAUUGUUGGUUUUACUGAUGGUG